rnacentral:rRNA from 1 species
CCUACGGGAGGCAGCAGUGAGGAAUAUUGGUCAAUGGGCUUACGCCUGAACCAGCCAAGUCGCGUGAGGGAAGACUGCCCUAUGGGUUGUAAACCUCUUUUGUCAGGGAGCAACGCCGGCUACGUGUAGCCGGACUGAGAGUACCUGAAGAAAAAGCAUCGGCUAACUCCGUGCCAGCAGCCGCGGUAAUACGGAGGAUCCGAGCGUUAUCCGGAUUUAUUGGGUUUAAAGGGAGCGUAGAUGGGUUGUUAAGUCAGUUGGGAAAGUUUGCGGCUCAACCGUAAAAUUGCAAUUGAUACUGGCAGCCUUGAGUACAGUUGAGGUAGGCGGAAUGCGUGGUGUAGCGGUGAAAUGCUUAGAUAUCACGAAGAACUCCGAUUGCGAAGGCAGCUUACUAAACUGCCACUGACAUUGAUGCUCGAAAGUGUGGGUAUCAAACAGGAUUAGAUACCCGGGUAGUC